rnacentral:rRNA from 1 species
UGGGGAAUAUUGGACAAUGGGCGAAAGCCUGAUCCAGCCAUGCCGCGUGUGUGAAGAAGGUCUUCGGAUUGUAAAGCACUUUAAGUUGGGAGGAAGGGCAUUAACCUAAUACGUUAGUGUUUUGACGUUACCGACAGAAUAAGCACCGGCUAACUCUGUGCCAGCAGCCGCGGUAAUACAGAGGGUGCAAGCGUUAAUCGGAAUUACUGGGCGUAAAGCGCGCGUAGGUGGUUUGUUAAGUUGGAUGUGAAAUCCCCGGGCUCAACCUGGGAACUGCAUUCAAAACUGACUGACUAGAGUAUGGUAGAGGGUGGUGGAAUUUCCUGUGUAGAGGUGAAA